GCCGCGCUCUGUUCAUCCAUCCGCAGGUGGAUAAGAACACGUGCCUUUUUUUGAGGAUGUGAAUGGUUGGGAAUGGCUGUGCCUGAGGAUGUUGUUCCCACAGGAUGGUGGGGGCGACUCCGGGCCUCGGUCGGUCCCGGCCCCCCUCCUCCCCACCCCGUUCCCUAAUCAGGGUCCGAGCGGCCGCGCGGACGGCCCGGGGGCCCCGCCGGUCUCCGAGCCCGUGGGCAGCGCCGGGAACUCGCGCCCCGGUGGCCGCAGCCGACCCUCAGGCAGGACUUCGUGGCGCCCCCGGCCCGAACAGACCCCCACGGGCAGCCUCGGCCGCCCCCGCCCCCGUGCUCCCUUCAUCUCAGGGCAAAAGCUCAAGUCAACCCUUCGGGACCGCGAGCCGGGCGGCCUCAGGGAGCGGGCGCCUGGGGACCCGCGGCCGGGCCGGGGGCGGCGAAGGUGGGGGCGCCUCGCGCGGCGGAACCCGCCGUCCCCAUAGCCCGGAGCCCCGUCCGGAGUCGCCCCGCUGACCGGUGAGGAGGCCGGGCUCCCUCCUUCGAUCUGCGGCGGCGGUCGGCUCGGCCGGGGCGCCCCUCGGGCCUGGGCGCAGCGCGGAACCCGCGGGGCGGGAGCGGCCGGAACCUAGCGCCAGGGAUCUCGUUUCCUGUCGGCGGGACCCGAGCGCUGCACCGAGCGCAGCCGGACGCGGCCGACUGACCCGGUCGCUGUGGCAACGCGGCGGGACCUGGCAGCGCUGCGGGAGGGCGUUCGGGUAUUUCUGGAAAACUCAAACUGUUUUUCCUCUGCUCUCAUACCACAAGAAUCAUCAGCACAGAAGAAGACUUCUGUGAUCAAAUGUGGCGGAAGAGGGAGUUUCUCACCAGCACGUGAGCAGUCAGUUCUGCCGCAGACUUGGCGGGUGUCCUUCGGUUCAGUUCCAACACCACCUGCCUGGAGAGAGGUCAGACCACAGGCGGCCAUCAUGCUGCCGCUGGGCUCAGAGCCGGCCCUGAAUGAGCUGCUGCUUCGCAAGGAGGAGGAGUGGAGGGAGCUGCAGGCCCACCGCACCCAGCUGCAGGAGGCGGCUCUGCAGGACACACGGAGCCAGCUGGAGGAGGCGCAGGGGAAACUGCGGUGCCUGCAAGAGGACUUUGUCUACAACCUUCAGGUGCUGGAGGAGCGGGACCUCGAGCUGGAGCGCUAUGACGCUGCCUUCGCCCAGGCCAGGCAGCGGGAGGAGGCCAGGCGGGCAGAGGUGAGCGACCUCAAGAUAGAGGCGGCUAAGCUGAGGCAGGCGCUAGCCAGAGAGGCCAGGAAGGUGGAGGAGCUGCAGCAGCAGCAGCAGCUGGCGUGCCAGGAGCAUCGCCUGGAGCUGGAGCGCGUCCACAGUGACAAGAAUGGUGAGAUCGACCACCACCGGGAACAGUAUGAAAAUCUAAAAUGGACGCUGGAGAGAAAACUUGAGGAGCUCGACGGUGAGCUUGCUCUACAGAGACAGGAGCUGCUGCUGGAGUUUGAAUCGAAAAUGCGGAAGAGGGAGCACGAAUUCCGUCUGCAGGCUGACAACAUGAGCAACACAGCCUUGUCCCGGGAGCUUAAGGUUAAACUACUGCACAAAGAGCUGGAGGCUCUGAAGGAAGCCGGGGCAAAGGCUGCAGAGAGUCUGCAGAGGGCAGAGGCCACCAACGCCGAGCUGGAGAGGAAGCUCCAGAGCCGAGCCGGGGAGCUCCGGGACCUGGAGGCCAUGAGCCGCGCCCGGGUAAAGGACUUAGAGGAUAAACUUCACUCUGUGCAGCUAACCAGGAAGAAGGAAGAGGAAACAUUUAAGAGGAAGCAUGAGGAGCUCGACCGUCUGGCCAGGGAGAAGGAUGCGGUGCUGGUGGCGGUGAAGGGAGCCCACGUGGACCAGCUGCAGGAGCUGCAGGCCAGGGUUCUGGAGCUGCAGGCCCACUGCGAGACCCUCGAGGCGCAGCUCCGCAGGGCAGAGUGGAGACAGGCUGACACCGCCAAGGAGAAGGACGCUGCCAUUGACCAACUUCGUGAAGAUGCAUCAACUGUAAAAUCUGCCUGGGAUGCUCAGAUUGCUCAACUAUCUAAGGAGAUGGUCUCCAGAGACCUUCAGAUUCAGACGCUGAAGGAAGAAGAGGUGAAGCUCAAGGCACAGGUGGCCCGAUCCCAGCAGGACAUUGAAAGGUACAAGCAACAGCUGUCCCUGGCGAUGGAAAGGGAGCGGAGCCUGGAGCGUGAUCAGGUGCAGCUGGGCCUGGACUGGCAGCGCCGCUGUGACAACAUUGAAAGGGACCAGAUCCAAAAGUCAGAGGCCCUGAUUCAGGGUCUGACCACGGCAAAAAGUCAGGUUGCUGCCAAGCUGCAGGAGACAGAGCAGGCGCUACGGGAGCAGGAGGUGGUGCUGAAGGCCGUGACCCUGGAACGAGACCAGGCCGUGCAGGCCCUGAGGAUGCAUGGGCUCCCUGGACCAGGGACACAGAUGCUCCUCAUGCAGCAUGAAGAAGAAAUAAGUAAAGAUUUUCUAUCCAGUGAGAUCCAGCGGCUCCGAGAGCAGAACACAAGCUUGCGAAACGCGAUUGCCCAGAUGAGGAAAGAAAUGGAGGCUCUAAGCCAUCAGAUUCCUCCUCCCGUCCAGACAGCGGCAGAGAGCACAGAUGCAAACCAGCCUGACCCAGAGGCUGGGGGAGAUGCCGCCACUCCUGAUUAUGUUCUGGCCCUUGAAGCAGAAAUACGAACUCUAAAGCAUAAGUUUAAAACUCUGGAAAAGCAUCUAGAAGAUGUGUUGGAUCCUUUAAAGAUGUCCUCACCUCAUGCUGAGUCUCAGCCCAGCGUCCGCACCUUGACAGAGACGACUGGAGGGUCUGCCCAAGCUGGUCAAGCCGGAGGAUCUGUCCAAGCUGGCCCAGUAUCCUCCAGACUGGCACUCAGGAAGCUCGGGGACAGAGUGCAGCUCCUAAACCUGCUGGUGAGACGACUGAGACAGAAGGUGCCGCGGGAACCCCUGGAGCCGGCCGCUCUCCAGCGUGAGCUUCCCCGUGAGGUGGACCAGGUACACCUGGAGGUUUUGGAGCUGCAGAAGCAGGUGGCUGAGCUGGGGAAGCAUCUCAGGAUAGCCCAGCACGGGGGAGCGGAGCCUUCAGGCAGGAAGCAGCCCCCAGCCUCGGACGCCGUGGCCCUUGGGAGAGAGGGCCUCGCCAAGAGAGGGCCUGUGGAGGCCGAGGACCAGGGGGAGCUUUUCCUGCACCUCCGGUCAGUGGCACAUGCCCCCCAGACCUUAUCUAUGCACCGACUCCAGAGGAAGCUAAAGGAGGCAGCCAGAAAAAUCAUCAGCCUCCGCCUGGAGAAAGAGCAGCUCAUCGAGAUGGGGAACAGGCUCCGUGCAGAGCUAGGCCGACCCGAAAGGUGGCUGUUGCACCACACCCUCCCUCCUGCCCCCGAGGCCCGGAAGCCAGGCGAGGAGCCCAGGAGGCCUUUGGAUCGCAGCCCACCUUUGGGACAGGUGCAGCCCCAUUUUACAGCUCAGGACGCCAAGAGUGCUGAGGAUGGGUGUCCUUCCAGACACUUGGGAAAGCACCGGCCCCGCUCAGCACAGGUGGGCAGCAGACUUGACGCCCUGCAAGGCCCGAAGAGACAACACAGCAUCCACACGGUGACCUGUAAAUCACCUCGGCAGAAAGAAGACAGGUCCCCACAGCCACCCCAGGCUCCCGAGCGCCCUGAGGAGCAUGGUCGCCAAUCCCACAGCUCCUCCUCCUUUGCCAGUGGUGCCCUCCAGGACACGUGGAGGUUGCUAGACCUGGGAUCCAGCCCUUCUGGUCUCACCUCCCAGGGUGACUCAACUCCAGGUAGGAGACUGCCCUCCCCAGGAGCUGCCCACAGCUGACAGCUGGCAGCUGGCGGAGGCCACCCUCUCCGAGGGGCAUGUGGAGAGUCAGCACCCUGAGUGCCUCCUGCACCCUGAUAUCCCUGCACUUUGGUUGAGUAAUGGAUGGAGUCUCCUUACCUCUCAUUUGGCACCUGAGUGUUUCCCGGGUUAUGGUGCAAAGCCCUGAAGGGCAGAAACCAUGCCAUUUCCUAGCGCAGCACUGUACACCCGGGCGCACGCUGACUUAGAAUGGAGCACCGUGCACCCGGGCGCACGCUGACUUAGAAUGGAACACCGUACACCCGGACGCACGCUGACUUAGAAUGGAACACCGUACACCCGGACGCACGAUGACUUACAAUGCAGCACCGUACACCCGGGCGCACGCUGACUUAGAAUGCAGCACCGUACACCCGGGCGCACGCUGACUUAGAAUGGAGCACUGUACACCCGGGCGCACGCUGACUUAGAAUGGAGCCCAGGUGAGACGCGCAGGCAUUGGCGCACUUUAGACGGCCCUGCUCCUGGGGAAGAGCCAGGCCACCCCAUUGAUGCUCCCGGGGAAGAGCCAGGCAGACCCCAGUGAUGCUCAGCCUCAUGGGCCAGACAAGUGUCAGCCGCAUCCUCAACCUCGUCCUGCUUUGCGGCACGGACGUUGCCACCCUGAGACUCUUCUCUGCACCUAAGUCAUAGGCCUGGUAAACUCAGCAGGUCAUAGUGCCAGCUCCUGCUAGUGGUCUCAGGAAGUUUUCAGGAAAGUCUGUUUGAAGGGUGCACCUUGCGGGGACUGCAUGGGUCUAUGAUGUAGCGAGAAGGAUGGAGGGAGACAGAUGCUGCUUCGAGGCAGCUGGAGUUGCGGGACGUGUGAUGUGGUUGGGGUGGGAGUGUGCGUCUGUCCUGUGUGCCUGCAUGGAGGGCGUCCCCUUCUUACCUUACAGCUUCCCUGUCUUCCGUCAUGAGGAUGUGCCUCAUUCAUUUAAUCAUUCUCUCCUUCAUGAGCAUUUUAGGCUAUUUCCAGUCCUUUACCAUCACAGAUACUGUUAGAAUAGUAACCUCACAGGCUGCGGUGUGUGUGAAAACACACGUGUAAGCGCCCCAGGGGCUUGCGUAGUCAAGGCUGCCCGCGUGCCACGUGUGGUGGACAGCAUCACCUCAGCCUCCACCGCCCACCCAGAGGCUGCUCCCAGCAGCAGUGUCUGAGAGUCAUAUAGCCACACGCAACUUUUGCCGGUGACAGCGGGAUUGGCAUCAGCGCCUCUGCUGGGAGGUCGUGCAUCUUCGUGUGUGUUUAGGAGCCACUUCCUUUCCCUGUUCUUCAGUUCUCUGCCCAUUUGUAUAUUAGAUUGUUGUCUUUCUUACUGAUUUGUAGCAGCUCAUUAUAUGUGAUAGAAAUUAGGCCUUUUCGCUGACAACAAUUUAAAUGUUUUCUCCCAGUUCUUCAUGUUUUUAAAUGUUUCUUAUGGUGUUUUUUUAUGUUCAUAUUUUUUAUUUCUAUGUAAUUUAAUGUCCUUGUUUUUUAUCUUGUCUGGAGUUUAAGACCAGCCUGGCCAACAUGGCGAAACCCCAUCUCUACUAAAAAUACAACAAUUCACUGGGCCUGGUGGCGCAUGCCUGUAAUCCCAGCUACUUGGGAGGCUGAGGCAUGAGAAUCACUUGAACCCGGGAGGUGGAGGUUGCAGGGAGCUGAGAUUGCACCACUGCAUUCCAGUCUGGGUGACGGAAUGAGACUCUGCCUCAAAAAAAAAAAAAAAAAAAAAAAAUUUAGUAGAGAUGGUGUCUCCCUAUGUUGCCCAGGCUGAUCUCAAAUUCCUGGGCUCAAGCAAUCCUCCCGCUUCAGCCGCCCAAAGUGCUGAGAUUGCAGGCAUGAGUCACCAUGCCCGGCCUAUUUUUGUAUAUAAUUUUUAGAGUUGGCUUGUCUGAGUCUGGUUCCCCCAGCCCCUCCCCACAAACACUAUUGUAAGUGUCCUUAGGAUUGACGCAGCUUCCCUUCUGCCUUAGGAAGGAAUGGGGUUGUGUGGCUGGCUUCCGUUCCCCGUGUGCUCCAGUGCUGGCAUCACGAAUGUGGCGUGUCCCACUCUGAUGGCUCCCCUCUGUGCUCAGGAUUCUCGGGGCGCCGCCUCCUUGCGUUUUUAAUUCACCACAAAACAUUUUGUCCAAAUUUUCAUCAACUCAAUGGAAAGUUCUUCUGGAGACGUUCGUGUUCAUUCGUUUGCUUGUUUCCUUUCUCCUUUUCUCUUGGAGCACUUUCGUUUCUUGCCUCCCCCCUCAUUUUUUUUUUUUUUUUUCUUUUUAGAGACAGUGUCUCAUUCUGUCACCCAGGCUGGAGUGCAGCGCUGCAAUCUCAGCUCACUGCAGCCUUGACCUCUUGGGCUCAAGUGAUUCUCCCACCUCAGCCUCCCAAGUAGCUGGGAUCACAGGGACACGCCACCACACUCAGCUAAGAUUGUUUUAGUUUUUUGUAGAGACAAGGUGUCGCUGUGUUGCCCAGGCUGGUCUCAAACUCCUGGGCUCAAGCGAUCUUCCCACCUUACGUUCUCAAAGUGCUGGGAUUACAGGCAUGAGCCAUUGUACCUGGCCUCAUCUUUAAAACAGGUAAAUUUUUACUUGACUAGCUAUUUGAAAAAGUUUGUAUGGAAAAUGAAGCCAGAGCCAUAUUCCAGUCUAGCAGAGUUUUUGUUGUUGAUUUUAGCUUUAAGUACAGGUCUUCACCUAUCAGGCUUUUAACAGCUGAUACAGCUUCUCUUUUCCCUUUCCCCACAGAUACUGCACUUUGCAGAUAGGGCCUGUUCUGUUCCUGGUUCACUCUCCCUCCUCUCUUCCAGGAACGGAACAAGGUCAGGGAAGCACUUGCUGCCAGCCCAUGUUCCUACUCCUGAAACAAGGAAUUAGGUCCUACCCUCAGGGCGUGCCCUUGCCUUUGAGAAAUGCCCUCUGCUCUUUCUGCAGUCUGUAACGAGGCAUCUGUAUGUCUUUGACACAGCCCUUGCCGAGUUCCUGCGGCCUUUGGUAGCCCCCACCACCACCACCAUUUCUAGCUCUUAGUUUUAAUGAAAAUGAAGUUUGCAUUUUUGCUUUUCAUUAUCUUUUUUUUUUUUUUUUUGCUUUUGGAUGAUUUACAAGGAUAGUGGAGGAGUGCUAGCUUCGUGAUGCCUUCUUCAAGUCUGAAAUCUGUCUUGUUUUCUGAUCAAUGCAGCCAAAGAAAUGCAUAUUCCUCCAAGCGCUGCUUUGCUUUAACCAUGUCUCAUAAAUCUCGACAUCCUCAUGUUUCCCUUGUCUUUCCCUUGUGGGACUUAUAACUCAACUCAUUUUGCUUUAACUUAAAUGGAAUUUUUCCUUAAGUUUCUAGAUUUGUGGAAUUUUAUUUUUUUGUCUGUUACUGAUUUCUAAUAUUUUUACAUUCUGGUCAGAGAAUUAAAUUACUAUGACGUUAACUCUUCUGAGAGGGAAAUAUUAGUUCUUAAACUACAAUUAUCAAUUUAUCUGUUUUUGUCAAUUGUUGCUUUAUGUGUUUUGAGGUCCACUGUUAGGUGCAUAUAUGUUUAGGUUUUUUGCCUUCUUGAUCUUUUCCUCCCUUUAGUAAAGUAUGUAACAUCCUUCA